UACGAAGGGGGCUAGCGUUGUUCGGAAUUACUGGGCGUGAAGCGCACGUAGGCGGAUAUUUAAGUCAGGGGUGAAAUCCCGCAGCUCAACUGCGGAACUGCCUUUGAUACUGGGUAUCUUGAGUAUGGAAGAGGUAAGUGGAAUUCCGAGUGUAGAGGUGAAAUUCGUAGAUAUUCGGAGGAACACCAGUGGCGAAGGCGGCUUACUGGUCCAUUACUGACGCUGAGGUGCGAAAGCGUGGGGAGCAAACAGG
rnacentral:rRNA from 1 species